AGUGAACGCUGGCGGUAGGCCUAACACAUGCAAGUCGAACGGCAGCACAGUAAGAGCUUGCUCUUACGGGUGGCGAGUGACGGACGGGUGAGGAAUACAUCGGAAUCUACUUUUUCGUGGGGGAUAACGUAGGGAAACUUACGCUAAUACCGCAUACGACCUACGGGUGAAAGCAGGGGAUCUUCGGACCUUGCGCGAUUGAAUGAGCCGAUGUCGGAUUAGCUAGUUGGCGGGGUAAAGGCCCACCAAGGCGACGAUCCGUAGCUGGUCUGAGAGGAUGAUCAGCCACACUGGAACUGAGACACGGUCCAGACUCCUACGGGAGGCAGCAGUGGGGAAUAUUGGACAAAGGGCGCAAGCCUGAUCCAGCCAUACCGCGUGGGUGAAGAAGGCCUUCGGGUUGUAAAGCCCUUUUAUUGGGAAAGAAAAGCAGCAGGUUAAUACCCCGCUGUUCUGACGGUACCCAAAGAAUAAGCACCGGCUAACUUCGUG
rnacentral:rRNA from 1 species